CCCCCUGCGCCACAGCGCCGGCCCCUGUUUUGUUUUUUAAUUCUGUUUUUGGUGGCGUUGAACAUCUGUCUUUCUCCAGGCUCUCACCUCCACGAAAGCAGAAAGCAUGACUUUUUCUCCUUUAUCCCGCCAGCCCCUAGCGCAGCGGCCGGCGCACAGCAGGUGUUUGGCCAGGUUUGCCCAGUUAUUCUGCAGGUGCGCCCAGGUCCCCCAGUCAGCGCCGGGAGCCGCAAACCCGAGCUCCCGGCAGCUCCCGCUAGCUCCAGAGCUCGGGCAGCCUCGGGCGGCGCCAGCAUUAGGGGGCGUUUGUUCCACAUUUUCAGGCUGCUCGCUCGCGUUCAGGGCCGGUCCCCAGGCGGCCGGGCGGGACACAGCGUCCUGGACCCGCCCGGGGCGUCGCCAAGGGCGCUGAGUCACGCCCGGCCCAGCAGGGCUAGAGCCGGCCGGCUUCCGGAAAGGCACCCGCGGAAGGGCGCCGAGCGAGAGGAAGCGCAAAGCGCACGGCGGCCGGCAGGUGAGGGCGUGCGGGAGGGGGCCCUGGCGAGCGGCGCGGCCGGCACCCGCGUUGUGGCCUUGGCACGGUGCGCCAUCGCCCAGGACUUCCGCCCCGGUUCCCGAACUCCGCAGGAAAGUUGGCGCGGGCAGGGGAAGUGGCCCACCCUCCGCGAGAGGCCUAGAAUCCCUGCCGAGUCCUCCCGCGGGGCUCAGGCCGGGAAGAGAAGGGACCUGGGCACGUGGGCGGGUGUGAGCGGGACCGGGAUCUGUGGCUGGGUAGGGGCCGGGCUGAAGCUGGUGUCCGGGGCCGGAGGAGACCUCAGUCUCCCAGUGGGUUGCGCGCAGAGCCCCGCGUCCGCCUCCCGGGGCUCCGGGUUCCCCGGGGCCAAGACCAGCAGUGCUGGGCUAACUCUGAGAUGCCUAAGCCGGCGGGGUGCUGCUCCAGUCGGGCACCAGCCUCUCGCACCCCUCUUGUCCUCUCCACCAAGGGUUUCUGGCCCUGGGAAUGUCUUUUGGGAGCUGGCGUCCCUGCGCGAGGUCAGACACAGCUUGGGUUUCCCUUUCGGAGGGUGGGUGUCAGGCUCUGCUGCUGGAGCCCCCACGCUCUGA
rnacentral:lncRNA from 1 species